CCUACGGGUGGCAGCAGUGAGGAAUAUUGGUCAAUGGGCGCGAGCCUGAACCAGCCAAGUCGCGUGAAGGAUGACUGCCCUACGGGUCGUAAACUUCUUUUAUAAAGGAAUAAAGUGGGGCACGUGUGCCUUUUUGUAUGUACUUUAUGAAUAAGCAUCGGCUAACUCCGUGCCAGCAGCCGCGGUAAUACGGAGGAUCCGAGCGUUAUCCGGAUUUAUUGGGUUUAAAGGGAGCGUAGAUGGGCUGUUAAGUCAGUUGGUAAAGUGUGCGGCUCAACCGUAAAAGUGCAAUUGAUACUGGCAGUCUUGAGUACAUUUGAGGUAGGCGGAAUUCGUGGUGUAGCGGUGAAAUGCUUAGAUAUCGCGCAGAACCCCGAUUGCGAAGGCAGCUUACUAACCUGCCACUGACAUUGAUGCUCGAAAGUGUGGGUAUCAAACAGGAUUAGAUACCCUUGUAGUC
rnacentral:rRNA from 1 species